rnacentral:rRNA from 1 species
UACGUAGGAUGCAAGCGUUGUCCGGAAUUAUUGGGAGUAAAGCGUACGUAGGCGGUUUGUUAAGUCAGGGGUUAAAGACUGAGGCUCAACCUCAGGAGUGCCCUUGAUACUGGCAGGCUGGAGGACGGCAGAGGAAAGUGGAAUUCCCAGUGUAGCGGUGAAAUGCGUAGAUAUUGGGAGGAACACCAGUGGCGAAAGCGACUUUCUGGGCCGUUCCUGACGCUGAGGUACGAAAGCGUGGGGAGCAAACAGG